GAUGAACGCUGGCGGCGUGCCUAAUACAUGCAAGUCGAGCGAACGGACGAGAAGCUUGCUUCUCUGAUGUUAGCGGCGGACGGGUGAGUAACACGUGGAUAACCUACCUAUAAGACUGGGAUAACUUCGGGAAACCGGAGCUAAUACCGGAUGAUAUUUUGAACCGCAUGGUUCAAAAGUGAAAGACGGUCUUGCUGUCACUUGUAGAUGGAUCCGCGCUGCAUUAGCUAGUUGGUAAGGUAACGGCUUACCAAGGCAACGAUGCAUAGCCGACCUGAGAGGGUGAUCGGCCACACUGGAACUGAGACACGGUCCAGACUCCUACGGGGGGCAGCAGUAGGGAAUCUUCCGCAAUGGGCGAAAGCCUGACGGAGCAACGCCGCGUGAGUGAUGAAGGUCUUCGGAUCGUAAAACUCUGUUAUUAGGGAAGAACAUAUGUGUAAGUAACUGUGCACAUCUUGACGGUACCUAAUCAGAAAGCCACGGCUAACUACGUG
rnacentral:rRNA from 1 species